AAUACGUUCCCGGGCCUUGUACACACCGCCCGUCACAUCAUGGGAGUCGUUUGUACCCGAAGCCGACCGCAAGGCCGUCUAAGGUAUGAGCGGUAACUGGGAUG
rnacentral:rRNA from 1 species